AGUGAACGCUGGCGGUAGGCCUAACACAUGCAAGUCGAACGGCAGCACAGUAAGAGCUUGCUCUUACGGGUGGCGAGUGGCGGACGGGUGAGGAAUACAUCGGAAUCUACUUUUUCGUGGGGGCUAACGUAGGGAAACUUACGCUAAUACCGCAUACGACCUACGGGUGAAAGCAGGGGAUCUUCGGCCCUUGCGCGAUUGAAUGAGCCGAUGUCGGAUUAGCUAGUUGGCGGGGUAAAGGCCCACUAAGGCGACGAUCCGUAGCUGGUCUGAGAGGAUGAUCAGCCACACUGGAACUGAGACACGGUCCAGACUCCUACGGGAGGCAGCAGUGGGGAAUAUUGGACAAUGGGCGCAAGCCUGAUCCAGCCAUACCGCGUGUGUGAAGAAGGCCUUCGGGUUGUAAAGCCCUUUUGUUGGGAAAGAAAAGCAGCAGGUUAAUACCCCGCUGUUCUGACGGUACCCAAAGAAUAAGCACCGGCUAACUUCGUG
rnacentral:rRNA from 1 species